rnacentral:tRNA from 1 species
AAUAAAGAAUCUAAUAUAUAUAGAGUUAUUUUGAUAGAAUAAAAUUAGUGAAAAACCACCUUUAUUA